CAGGAAAGCCAGGCUGGGCACUGUCCUCGCUGCCCACCCACUGUGCCCAGCCUUGGUAGCUCCUGCAUGGUCCCUCUGCCUGUUAUCUUCACAGUGCCACUGCAGCACAUCCCCCUUCCUGUCACUCACUACACUGCCUGCUGUGGAAUGGGCAUCAGCAGAACAUUUAAAUGCCCAAGACCGAGGCAAGGACAACAAAAUAAAGAAUUUCCAAGAACAUCCACUAUGCCACCAGAAGUCACCAGCCAGGGUCUAGAACCCUGCAUGACAGAGAGAACCAGAAAACAAAAAGGGUCCAGGAGACUAGACCAAACAGCACCUUCCACGAGGAUUCCUCAGCUGUGACUCUGGGACAGACCCAGCUAACCCUGAGAGUUGCCCCGGUGUGUGUCUGUGUGUGUGUGUGUGUUUGUGUGCGUACACAUGCACACAUGCACUCGUGAACUCCCUGCUCAGUGCACGCCCUCUCCAAGGUUCACAGUGGGUCCUUUGUUUUUUUGAGAUAGAGUCUCACUAUGUAGUCCAGGCUGGCCUUGAACUCACAGUGAUCCCACUACCUCAGCCUCCUGCAUGCUGGGAUUAUAAGCAUGUGGCACCAUGCCAGCC
rnacentral:lncRNA from 1 species